CUUCUCUACAGCAAUGCUAGAUGACAAAGUAGCCAUAACUUCAAAAUUCUGAAGGAUACUAAUUCCUUUUUUUUUUUUUUUUUUUUUUUUUUGAGACGGAGUCUCACUCUGUCACCCAGGCUGGAGUGCAGUGGUGCAAUCUCGGCUCACUGCAGGCUCCACCUCCCGGGUUCAUGCCAUUCUCCUGCCUCAGCCUCCCGAGUAGCUGGGACCACAGGAAUGAGCCACUGCGCCCGGCACUAAUUCCAACAUAGAAUUUCAUACCCAAUCAAAUCAAGUGUGAGCACAUUUUUAGACAUGCAGAUACUCCCCCAAAAUAAGGUGAUAAAAGAAGAGGUUACACAGAAAACAGAGAUCCAACAGAGGAGCAGUGUGGGGAGUGCCCAGGGUGACAGUGACACACCAAGCACGGGGAGAAACCAGUCCAGAUUGGGGUGGGUCAAGAAUAAUAACUGAUAAAUGAUGUCAUGAUCUUCAGAUAUGAUUGGGGUUGAAUUAGUGACAAAUAGAAAACCAAGCAAAUAAAAAUGCAAGAGGAUUACUUUCAGGGAAAAGUUCCACAGUAAUCUAGUCUAUUGUAUGACUCAGCUGUGAUCACUAUGACACUGUCAUAUUUUUAAAAAGUUUAAUCACAUCUUAAUAAUUUGACACUGAAUAUGAUCUAACCAGAAUUACAAUAUCAGGGAGAUGGGUGAGAGGAAGUAAAUUCAUGGUGGGCAGGAGGAAGAGAGGAUUCAAAAGAUAAUGGUGGCCGGGUGCAGUGGCUCACACCUAUAAUCCCAGCAGGCCGAGGCGGGCAGAUCACUUGAGCCCCGGAGUUCAAGACCAGCUUGGGCAACAUGGCAAAACCCUGUCUCUACAAAAAAUACAAAAAUUAGCUAGGCAUGGUGGUGUGCACCAGUAUUUCUAGCUACUCAGGAGGCUGAGGUGGGAGAAUCACCUGAGCCCGAGAAGGUUGAGGCUGCAGUGAGCCAUGAUUGUGCCAUUGCACUCCCGCCUGGGGAAGAGUGAGACCGUCUUAAAACAAGCAAACAAAAAACCAUCAAGGAAUAUGGGGUAAAGGCAGGGUAGGAGGGCUACUGUUUUUCAUAAUAAACCUUAUGGAACAACUUGUUUUCAAUCUGCGUCAACUGAUUUUCCCCCCUAAGAUGCAGGAUAUAAAACUGUUUACAAAGCUACAUAUUUUAGGUUGAUCCCCCUUCACUUUUCAGAUCUAGGUAGGGUUAUAGCCAGUUUCCAUUGCGUGGAGAAUCUGCAAGGCUGGUGUUCCUGUACGGGUCCAGAGUGAACUACAUCAAAAGUCGCUUUUGAUAUCGAGGAUGCAGUUCACUACUAUUAAGUGUAAUGUGUUUUAAGAAUUACUUAUCUGGGGACCAGGGAAUUGUUUAAAAUGCAGAUUCCUGGGCCCCACUCCAGGUGUGCGGCUUGCAGUCUUCAUUUCUAAUAAGAUCCUUAGUUGAUGUUGAAAACCACUGCUUUCAUUUGUUUUUUAUUUAAGAGACAGGGUCUCACUGUCAUCCAGGCUGGAGUGCAGUGGUGCAAUUAUAGCUCACUGCAGCCUUAAUCUCCUGGGCUCAUGUGGUCGUCCUGCCUCAACCUCCAGGAUAGCUGGGACUGCAGGCAUCAGCUGUGCCCAGCUACUUUUCAAUUUUUUGUAGAGAUGCGGUCUUGGUUAACAAAGCUUAACAGCCCAGGCUAGUCUCAAACUCCUAGGUUCAAGUGAUCCUCCCGCCUCGACCUCCCAAAGUGCUGGCAUUAUAGGCGUGGGGCACCAUGUUUGGCCUGAAGCCCUAUUUUAAACGUCUAUUGUAUCUGACCAACUCACUGAUGCUUAUUCCUCAGAAUACCAGCUCUGUAACCUCCAGGUAGUAUCAUAAGACAAAGCUUAUUAGAACCUCAUUAAUUGAUGCCAGGUUAACUAAUGUGCUGGAUUUUUUUCCCCUCCUCUUUCAUUACUUGAAUAAUCUGUUCAAUGAGCAAUAUUCUAAAAGCCAAUAAUUGAUCAGUUUUCCUCUUGAUGGCUUAUGCUGUAGCUCAUACCAUAAUGAAUACCUGGCAAGACCUCUUUUUGGUGAUUUGAUUUUUUCAGGCUGCUUUUCCAGUUUCUGUGUUUUUGUCACAAUUAUUCACCCUGUGUAUCUUAUACUCUUUACUACUACUUAUUUUUCUUUAAAGACAAAGUCUUGCUCUUUUGCCCAGGCUGGAGUACAGUGGCAAGGUCAUAGCUCACUGCAGCCUCAUACUCCCAGGCUCAAGUGAUCCUCCCACCUCAGCCUCCCUAGUAGCGAGGACUACAGGUGUGCACCACCAUGCCAAGUUAAUUUUUAGAAUUUUUUGUAGAGACAGGGUCUCACUAUGUCUCGCGGGCUGGUUUUGAACUCCUCUCAAACAAUCCUCUACCUCAGCCUCCCAGAGUGCUGGAAGCAAGCCACUGUGCUGAGCUGCUGGUCACCCUUCCUACAUUAACAACUAUGGAUGUGCCAAUCAAUGCUGAGAUGCUCUGAUAUGCUCCCAAGAAUCUGUUUCCACAAAUCACCACAAAACUACUUGUUGUAGCCAGUAUACGAGCCAAGGAAGCUGGCCACUAGGAUCCCCUGAAUUACUUUUUUUUUUUUGAGGUGCAGUCUCGCUCUGUCACCCAAGCUGGAG
rnacentral:lncRNA from 10 species